GGGCAGAUGGCCGAGUGGUUAAAGGCGACAGACUGUAAAUCUGUUCUCUCGCGAGUACGUAGGUUCGAACCCUACUCUGCCCA
rnacentral:tRNA from 1 species